UAGGGAAUCUUCGGCAAUGGACGGAAGUCUGACCGAGCAACGCCGCGUGAGUGAAGAAGGUUUUCGGAUCGUAAAGCUCUGUUGUUAGAGAAGAACGUUGGUAGGAGUGGAAAAUCUACCAAGUGACGGUAACUAACCAGAAAGGGACGGCUAACUACGUG
rnacentral:rRNA from 1 species